AUUGAAUAACAAGACUCGCUCGAUGGCAGGCGUCUUCCUGCCAAUAUGAAAAACAACUCUAAGACAAAAUACGCGAUAGUGGAAUUUAUAUGUUAUUCUUAUUUCAAAAGUAAUUUAUUUUUAUAGUGUUAUUGCAUUUAAAAACAUAUUUUAUUUAUUAGUGAAUGAUAGUUAAUUAUUGCAAAAGCGCUUACGGGUGUUGUAGUCUCCGUCUAGUGCCCUGUGAUUGUUUUGUUUAAAGUCAAUGUUGAAGCAGUUCGCGAAAACAAAUUCUUAAAUGUCAGUGGCUGUGUGGAUUUAUACGGCAACCGUAAAAAAUCGAGUGAUCGAUUCGAUUUAACUCCUCGGCGUGUCAUCGUUAAUCAUUGGACACAAGCACAUCACUAACUGUCAUCAAUAGGUGAAAAACCUACAAGAAUUGUGGACGACAACGUUUCAAAUAAUGCUCUCGGUACAAGUGCCGGGGUGCGCGGGCAUGGAGCGGCUCGGUGCGCCGGGGGGGCCGCGCCUGCGACACGAACACAGACAUCACCACUCUACGGAAUGGGAAAAGCAGCAGCGAAUACAGGCGAUGGUGGGGAGAAUUCAAGAGAUGGUGGAGCAAGACGCGAGCGCGAUCUGCGGCCGCCGCCG
rnacentral:lncRNA from 1 species